UUUAAUAAGUGAUAAAGAAAACCUUCACUGAGCAAGAACAUUGGAAAUCUAGGCUGGUGAAAGCACUCAGCAGAUAAAGGUGCUUCCUGCCAAGCUUCAUGACCUGAGUUAGAUCCCCAGGACCCACAGGGUAGAAUGAGUGAAUUGACUCCACAAGCACCAUCGUUCCUCUCCCCAACUAACUUGUAAUUUAUGGAGUUUUAAAAUUUACUUGAAGUCUUGGUUGAGAAGAUGGCUCAGUGGGCAAAGUGCUAGGCAAACAUGAUGAAUUCAGCUCUCCAGAAACCCACAUAAAACAACAGAAAGUUGGUGUGAUGGUGCAUUCCUGUAACCAUAGUGCUAGGUAGGCAGUGAUAGGUGUAUUCCUGAAGUUUGUCCUCAAAAAGUAAGGCAGAAAGCAGAAGAUACCCAAAGUUGUCCUCUGGCCUACACACACUCUCAGGGGCAUGUGCAUCUACAUACUUAUACGAUACAUAACACAAACAAGUGAUGGUAAUUUGGACCUGGGAAUAAUAAAUAUACCUGUAGUCUGUGAGUAGAUUUAGAAUAAGGAAAGAAAGGUGUGGGUACUAGUUUUCUUCCUGUCCCAUUUGCUGAUUGUUUUUCAAACUUGUCCAAGUUGUCAUUAAAAUGCUGGAAUCUUUCUGGAGUUUAUUUUACUACCAUUUAAUUGCGAUUCUUUUGAGUUUCCUGUAUGUACAAAGAACAUGAUUAUAUUUAAAACCUUGGAUAAAGCUAAAACAUAGUUGAGUAUAUUCUUUAUUUUGCUGGUUGAAUUGCUUUAUAAGAUUGAAAUACUCUAUUUUCAUCUUGUUUUCCCUUGAAAUGCUAAGAUACUUUAGACUGGGCCUAGUGAUGCAUGCCUUUAUUUCCCACCCCUUGUAAGGCAGGAGCAGGCGAGCCCUGGGACUUCCAGGAUAUCCAGAAGCACAGACUGAGGCCCUGUCUUUAAAAAUAAAACAAAACAGAUAUUUCCGAGUUUGGGGUGAGGGACAUGAUGGGACAGACAUUUGAGAAACAUUUUUUUGGCAUUUACCAUUGAUAUCUGUGAAGUAGUUCACCAUUUGCUCUAUAGAUAGUACUUGGUACACCAUUUCCUGAUAACACAGAGGUUUAAUUAUACUAUACUUAGGAAGCAUAUGAGCAUAUAAUUUAUUGAUUUAAUUUAAAGAAAUAAUUAAAAGGUAUAUGUAGAAAACAAGCUCAUCGUAUACAAUGAAAUAUGUAAUCAUUUCUCUUAUAAAGUACUUGAAUUAAAGUGAUUACUAAAUUUUAUCUGUAUAAAAUACAGCCUAGUAUGAAAAUAGAUUAUUCUUCACAGGCAACUAACUAUAGCAUAACUCUUACCCUAAAGUUUUAGUCACAGUUGUGUUGAAUUCUAAUUGUUUAACUUUCCACAGUGCAUAUUUAAAAAGAAUAUGAAG
rnacentral:lncRNA from 1 species